rnacentral:rRNA from 1 species
GAUAUUGGACAAUGGGCGCAAGCCUGAUCCAGCCAUGCCGCGUGAGUGAUGAGGGGCCUCGGGUUGUCCCGCUCUUUCUAUGGGGAAGAUAAAGACGGUCACCGUAGAAGGAGCCCCGGCUACCUUCGUGCUAGCAGCCGCGGUAAUACGAAGGGGGCUAGCGUUGUUCGGAAUUACUGGGCGUAAAGCGCACGUAGGCGGAUCGAUCAGUUAGGGGUGAAAUCCCGGGGCUCAACCCCGGAACUGCCUCUAAUACUGUCGAUCUCGAGUUCGAGAGAGGUGAGUGGAAUUCCGGGUGUAGAGGUGAAAUUCGUAGAUAUUCGGAGGAACACCAGUGGCGAAGGCGGCUCACUGGCUCGAUACUGACGCUGAGGUGCGAAAGCGUGGGGAGCAAACA